rnacentral:misc_RNA from 1 species
CCGAGUGAGGGCUCCGGCCCGACCUCCAACCCCAUGUUAUCCAUCUCUGUUGCCUCGGGGGCGACCCGGUCCCGCUCGGGAUGUCGGGGCCCCCGGUGGUCCAAUCAAACAAACUCUGCAUCUUUGCGUCUGAGUCAAUUAUUAAAUCAAUUA